UAAAGUACAGGUAACAAUCUAAAAGUUCAGGUGACAGCCUAAAAGUUCAGGUAACAACCUAAAAGUAGAGGUAACAGCCUCAAAGUACAGGUAACAGCCUAAAAGUUCAGGUAACAGCCUAAAAGUUCAGGUAACAAUCUAAAAGUUCAGGUAACAGCCUAAAAGUUCAGGUAACAGCCUUAAAGUACAGGUAACAACCUAAAAGUACAGGUAACAACCUAAAAGUACAGGUAACAACCUUAAAGUACAGGUAACAACCUAAAAGUAGAGGUAACAGCCUAAAAGUACAGGUAACAAUCUAAAAGUUCAGGUAACAACCUAAAAGUACAGGUAACAAUCUUAAAGUAGAGGUAACAACCUAAAAGUACAGGUAACAACCUUAAAGUAGAGGUAACAACCUUAAAGUACAGGUAACAACCUUAAAGUACAGGUAACAACCUUAAAGUACAGGUAACAACAUAAAAGUACAGGUAACAACCUAAAAGUAGAGGUAACAACCUAAAAGUUCAGGUAACAACAUAAAAGUACAGAUAACAAUCUUAAAGUAGAGGUAACAACCUUAAAGUACAGGUAACAACCUUAAAGUACAGGUAACAACCUUAAAGUACAGGUAACAACAUAAAAGUACAGGUAACAACCUUAAAGUAGAGGUAACAACCUAAAAGUUCAGGUAACAACCUAAAAGUACAGGUAACAAUCUUAAAGUAGAGGUAACAACCUUAAAGUACAGGUAACAACCUUAAAGUACAGGUAACAACCUUAAAGUACAGGUAACAACAUAAAAGUACAGGUAACAACCUUAAAGUAGAGGUAACAACCUAAAAGUUCAGGUAACAACAUAAAAGUACAGAUAACAACCUUAAAGUACAGGUAACAACCUAAAAGUACAGGUAACAACCUAAAAGUUCAGGUAACAACAUAAAAGUACAGGUAACAACCUAAAAGUUCAGGUAACAACAUAAAAGUACAGGUAACAACCUAAAAGUUCAGGUAACAACCUAAAAGUUCAGGUAACAACAUAAAAGUAGAGGUAACAACCUAAAAGUACAGAUAACAACCUAAAAGUUCAGGUAACAACCUUAAAGUACAGGUAACAACCUUAAAGUACAGGUAACAACAUAAAAGUACAGAUAACAACCUUAAAGUACAUCUAACAACCUAAAAGUACAGAUAACAACCUUAAAGUACAUCUAACAACCUAAAAGUACAGGUAACAACCUUAAAGUACAGGUAACAACAUAAAAGUACAGGUAACAACCUUAAAGUACAGGUAACAACCUAAAAGUUCAGGUAACAACCUUAAAGUACAGGUAACAACCUAAAAGUUCAGGUAACAAUCUAAAAGUUCAGGUAACAACAUAAAAGUUCAGGUAACAACCUAAAAGUUCAGGUAACAACCUAAAAGUACAGGUAACAACCUUAAAGUAGAGGUAACAACCUAAAAGUACAGGUAACAACCUAAAAGUUCAGGUAACAACCUAAAAGUACAGGUAACAACCUUAAAGUAGAGGUAACAACCUAAAAGUACAGGUAACAACCUUAAAGUAGAGGUAACAACCUAAAAGUUCAGGUAACAACCUUAAAGUAGAGGUAACAACCUUAAAGUACAGGUAACAACCUUAAAGUAGAGGUAACAACCUUAAAGUAGAGGUAACAACAUAAAAGUACAGGUAACAACCUAAAAGUACAGCUAACAACCUUAAAGUAGAGGUAACAACCUAAAAGUUCAGGUAACAACCUUAAAGUAGAGGUAACAACCUUAAAGUAGAGGUAACAACAUAAAAGUACAGGUAACAACCUUAAAGUAGAGGUAACAACCUUAAAGUAGAGGUAACAACCUAAAAGUUCAGGUAACAACCUAAAAGUACAGGUAACAACCUUAAAGUACAGGUAACAACCUAAAAGUUCAGGUAACAACCUAAAAGUACAGGUAACAACCUAAAAGUACAGGUAACAACCUAAAAGUUCAGGUAACAACAUAAAAGUACAGGUAACAAACUUAAAGUAGAGGCGACCUUAACGCCUGUAGAGGCUCAGACUUUGUGCUGCAGCUCAGCAGUCUGAACAUUCUGCUGAUAAUGAGUCCU